rnacentral:rRNA from 1 species
UACGUAGGGUGCAAGCGUUAUCCGGAAUUAUUGGGCGUAAAGAGCUCGUAGGCGGUUUGUCGCGUCUGCUGUGAAAACUGGGGGCUCAACCCCCAGCCUGCAGUGGGUACGGGCAGACUAGAGUGCGGUAGGGGAGAUUGGAAUUCCUGGUGUAGCGGUGGAAUGCGCAGAUAUCAGGAGGAACACCGAUGGCGAAGGCAGAUCUCUGGGCCGUAACUGACGCUGAGGAGCGAAAGCUAGGGGAGCAAAUGGG